rnacentral:rRNA from 2 species
CCACAUGACUCUCGGCAACGGAUAUCUCGGCUCUCGCAUCGAUGAAGAACGUAGCGAAAUGCGAUACCUGGUGUGAAUUGCAGAAUCCCGCGAACCAUCGAGUCUUUGAACGCAAGUUGCGCCCGAGGCCACUCGGCCGAGGGCACGCCUGCCUGGGCGUCACG